rnacentral:rRNA from 1 species
AUUGAACGCUGGCGGCAUGCCUUACACAUGCAAGUCGAACGGCAGCGGACCUUCGGGUGCCGGCGAGUGGCGAACGGGUGAGUAAUAUAUCGGAACGUACCUUUCAGUGGGGGAUAACGUAGCGAAAGUUACGCUAAUACCGCAUAUUCUGUGAGCAGGAAAGCAGGGGAUCGCAAGACCUUGCGCUGAUUGAGCGGCCGAUAUCAGAUUAGCUAGUUGGUGAGGUAAAGGCUCACCAAGGCGACGAUCUGUAGCGGGUCUGAGAGGAUGAUCCGCCACACUGGAACUGAGACACGGUCCAGACUCCUACGGGAGGCAGCAGUGGGGAAUUUUGGACAAUGGGCGCAAGCCUGAUCCAGCCAUGCCGCGUGCAGGAAGACGGACCUAUGGUUUGUAAACUGCUUUUGAACGGGAGAAAGCCCCCCUACGUGUAGGGGGCUGAUAGUACUGUUAGAAUAAGCAUCGGCUAACUUCGUGCCAGCAG